AUUGAACGCUGGCGGCAGGCCUAACACAUGCAAGUAGAACGAGUGGCGGACGGGUGAGUAAUGUCUGGGAAACUGCCCGAUGGAGGGGGAUAACUACUGGAAACGGUAGCUAAUCCCGCAUACCAUCGGAUUUGCCCAGCUGGGAUUAGAUAGUAGGUGGGGUAACGGCUCACCUAGGCGACGAUCCAUAGCUGGUCUGAGAGGAUGACCAGCAACACGGGAACUGAGACACGGUCCAGACUCCUACGGGAGGCAGCAGUGGGGAAUAUUGCACAAUUGGCGCAAGCCUGAUGCAGCCAUGCCGCGUGUAUGAAGAAGGCCUUCGGGUUGUAAAGUACUUUCAGCGAGGAGGCGUUACUCGCAGAAGAAGCACCGGCUAACUCCGGGCCAGCAGCCGCGGUAAUAC
rnacentral:rRNA from 1 species